rnacentral:tRNA from 1 species
CCUUGGUUAGCUCAGUUGGUAGAGCGCUCCACUUGUAAUGGAGAGGUCCCGGGUUCGAUGCCCGGACCAGGCG